GGCGGAAGAGGCGGACAAAUUGGAGUGGGAUGACGGGAUCACCUUUGAUGAUGCUGAGGGAUUAGGUAACACAACUAAAAGUGUGUGAAGUGUUUGGCAGUACUGGUACUCAAGCCCAGAGAGUGUCUGCAAAUUACUCAUUGGUUGCCACACGGAAGAAUCAGAUUUGCACAUGCUGUUCAGACAGUCUGAUGUGAGGUUAUCAUUUCCAGACCGGUGGUCCCUUAGAAAGAAAUAAAGAAGUGUGUCCCCUCA